rnacentral:tRNA from 1 species
UCCCUAGUGGUCCAGGGGCUAGGACUCUGUUCUCCUAAUGUAGGGGCCCUGGGUUUGAUUCCUGGUCAGGGAA